CAGCUAAACGCUUCCCUCAGCUGUGAGGUAUUGUCUUGCUUUUUCUCUGCAGAGUAUGUGUGAUUAGAGAGGAGACCUAGGGUAAUGGAGCCAGUUCAGAGAGGAUGCAGAUGCAGAUCCCAAGGGCCUGUGCAGAGUUACUGAUCUGAGCCUGCUCCUAGAGAAGUUUUUUGCAACUGGGAGAGACAGAAAAGCUAGAUCCAGAGGCCCUCAGGAGGAAGUAUUUCACAGCUGGUUGCUUGAAUUGGGUUCUGAAAUCAGAGGCCAAGAAGCUCUGGAAGACAAGUACCUUGAGCUCUGUCUACAAAAGAAACUCACAUACACACUCAGAAACAGGACUUCUUGCAGCCAUUGGAACAACUGAUAUUCACCAGGAUCAAAGGAUGAAGUGUCUCCUACCCACUGAGUGAAGCGAAUGGGGGGAGAGGAUUAACAGAAAAAGACAAAGGAAACUUGCAAGUGGAAGAAUAAGGGUGGGAAAUUGGGAAGCAGAAACCAUGAAGUGACAGAAUGGAGCAGAGAUCCUAAAUGAGAAAGGCGAGAGUGUAAAGCAAGAGUGAAAGAAGAUACAUGAAAUUCAAGGUGGUUAUUGUGCCAGAAUGGGUGGAUGGAAGGGUAAGUUAAAGAAAAUGUUUGGACAUCCUCAAUUGCCAGGAGGAUGCAGUUAAUUUAUUUUUAUUUGGACAAAAAUUAGCUUCCUUCUUCAUCCCAUUUCUUUAAUAUCAUUACUUGCCCACAGUUAACUCCAUCAUUCAAUGUGACCCACCUUUGUAUAAGACUUUAAAAAAAAAAAAAAAAAGUUUUAUUCACACAGAUCUUGCUGGAAAAUAACAAAACAGAAAAUCCUCAAAGCCACAAUUAAGAGGGAAAGGCAGGCAGAUGAGAGCUACUGAACAAGGUUUAGUAGCCCUGGACAAUAGCUCCUUAAAUCCUACUGCAGGAAUAUAAAAAUAUUUACAUUGAAUAUUGAGCCUGAUGGAUUUGUAUUAAAUAAUUUUAUUGGUCUUUAUUGUGGUGUUUCUAAUUUGGGCACUCAGAAAGAGCUUCUUAUGGGUACUAACUCUUUUUCAGGUUACCAAAAAGUAAAACUGCAGUAGCCAUUAUAAGGAGUAGAGAAUUAAGCUGAUAAAUACCUUUGGAAAUCCCGUAGUAAGGUAAGAAAAAAUUGGGUGGCUGAAAUUCAUAUAUAAUGUUUUAAAGGAGAACAUAGGUCCUAGGUAUAUUAUUGGGAUAAUGAAAUGUGGUAUUCAACAUCUAAAUUUAACUGAGUUCUUCUAUAAGGACAGUAUGCACUCCUUUUGUCUGCCUCAGACAUCGCAUUGAAAGCACCAAAGUAUAUACCCACAUUGUAUAGUCAGUGGGGAGAGGGGAAUUGUUCAGAUCACCUAAGUUAGAUGCAUAUCUUCUGACUGUCAAUACUUGUAUAAAACCAGUAUUUUUUGGAAGUAUUUUGCAGUUUUGCAGUUAACCAGAUUCAAGUGUGCAGUCUGAUUUUUUACAAAUGCCACAAUAAUUAAUCAUCCAACAGUACAGAUUCUAUCUGACACAGUUCAUUUGCAGACAAAGAAAAGGAAGACUGAGAU